GCCUAUGACAGUGGGAUAGCUCGGAACCGGGAUUAAUACCGCAUAAAAUCGUAGAAACACANGUUUCAACGGUCAAAGAUUUAUCGGUCAUAGAUGGGCUCGCGUCUGAUUAGCUAGUUGGUGAGAUAACAGCCCACCAAGGCGACGAUCAGUAGCCGGUCUGAGAGGAUGAACGGCCACAUUGGAACUGAGACACGGUCCAAACUCCUACGGGAGGCAGCAGCA
rnacentral:rRNA from 1 species